rnacentral:rRNA from 1 species
CCUACGGGUGGCUGCAGUGGGGAAUAUUGGACAAUGGGCGAAAGCCUGAUCCAGCCAUGCCGCGUGUGUGAAGAAGGCCUUCGGGUUGUAAAGCACUUUCAGUGGGGAAGAAAGCCUUGGGGCUAAUACCCUCGAGGAAGGACAUCACCCACAGAAGAAGCACCGGCUAACUCCGUGCCAGCAGCCGCGGUAAUACGGAGGGUGCGAGCGUUAAUCGGAAUUACUGGGCAUAAAGCGCGCGUAGGCGGUCUGAUAAGCCGGUUGUGAAAGCCCCGGGCUCAACCUGGGAACGGCAUCCGGAACUGUCAGGCUAGAGUGCAGGAGAGGAAGGUAGAAUUCCCGGUGUAGCGGUGAAAUGCGUAGAGAUCGGGAGGAAUACCAGUGGCGAAGGCGGCCUUCUGGACUGACACUGACGCUGAGGUGCGAAAGCGUGGGUAGCAAACAGGAUUAGAUACCCCGGUAGUC